rnacentral:SRP_RNA from 2 species
UCGGAGAGUUAGCCGUUCUUUGUAACCUGAAAUCGGCUAUAUGCAGGGACGAAUAUUUGCGAUGCGGGGUCUUGUCAUUGUCGUUUGCCCGGCUUUGAUGUAUUGAGAGAUCGGUCCUGCGCAACAAACUCUUGCGAACCAUGUCAGGCGGGGAACCGAGCAGCAUUAAGCAUUUUCGUUUGUGUGCCGCAGCAAACCGGUUUUGAGCUGAUGGGUCGGU